AGUUCGAUACUCAACGUAGACUUGGAAAGACGAUAAAAAAAAAUCAAGGUGUAGUAGUUAUCUACAAAAACUGGUUAGGUGUGGAAUCAAAUAAUCUACUGAGACACCGACUUUCCAAAUCACGAGCUAACCUUUUGGAUGUCAGACUGAUAACGAAAUUGGGUGUGUACUGCAAUAGUUGAACCGAGAAAUUCCACGUUUCGUCAUUAAAAUCGGACGAUCUGGAUCCCAAUACGACAACCUUGCAUCAUAAGUACGAAAACACCAAUUUGGGCAAAUAUUCUGAGAAGCGACAUAGAUUUGAAGAGAUUGACGAAAAUUAUUUUAGGAAAAUUUCAUCCGAACACAUUGCUAAAUCAAAAAUGGUCGAUUUGUACCAUUGAGAUAUGGGAAAACAUUUGGUUGGAAUAUGAAUUUUCGAAGAGACUUAAGAGACAAUCGAUUCUCUAAAUACCUCUUCGAAAAACUCAUGUACCUCAACAGUUACCCCAAUCACUGUACGAAUCAGCGAUGUUAGAUUUAGCAAUGAUUGUGUUUGGAUGAUCCUCUCCUAAAAUAAUUUUUUGUUUCUCUAAAACCUCUUCGUACCUUUGAAGCGCCUCCGAAUGUUUGCCCAAGACUGCAGUACCGAUCAGCGAUUUCGAAUUUCGUACUCAUUGUGGUACAAUCAAUACUGAUUUUGAAAUCGCUGAUUCGUAAUCGAUUCGGGCAGACAUUCUGAGGCACUCCAAGGGUACGAAGUGAUUUUAGAGAAACGCAAAAUCAUUUUAGGAGUGGAUCAUCGAAACACAAUCAUUGCUAAGUCUACCAUCGCUGAUUCUUACAGUGAUUAGAUAAAUAAUUUUGAUGGAUUCAAACAAAAUAAAAUCGGAUAGACUUAAAAGAAACGCAAACCUUUGACAGGAAUGUGCGAAAGAAUUUGUAGCUUGUAUGAUAUGUAAUCAAUAAACGAUACAACAAACGA